GAAUAUUGCACAAUGGGGGCAACCCUGAUGCAGCAAUGCCGCGUGAGCGAAGAAGGCUUUCGAGUUGUAAAGCUCUUUUCUGCGAGACGAGAGAGGACGGUAUCGCAGGAAUAAGUCCCGGCUAACUACGUGCCAGCAGCCGCGGUAAGACGUAGGGGGCGAGCGUUAUCCGGAAUUACUGGGCGUAAAGCGCGUGUAGGCGGUCUAUCAAGUUGGGUGUGAAAGCUCCCGGCUUAACCGGGAGAGGUCAUCCAAGACUGGUAGACUUGAGUGAGGUAGAGGAGCACAGAAUUCCUGGUGUAGUGGUGGAAUGCGUAGAGAUCAGGAGGAAUACCAGUGGCGAAAGCGGUGCUCUGGGCCUUAACUGACGCUGAGAGGCGAAAGCGUGGGGAGCGAACGGG
rnacentral:rRNA from 1 species